rnacentral:rRNA from 1 species
UACAUAGGGUGCGAGCGUUAAUCGGAAUUACUGGGCGUAAAGCGUGCGCAGGCUGUUCUGUAAGUCAGAUGUGAAAUCCCCGAGCUCAACUUGGGAACUGCGUUUGAAACUACAGGACUAGAAUAUGUCAGAGGGGGGUAGAAUUCCACGUGUAGCAGUGAAAUGCGUAGAGAUGUGGAGGAAUACCAAUGGCGAAGGCAGCCCCCUGGGAUAAUAUUGACGCUCAUGCACGAAAGCGUGGGGAGCAAACAGG